AAACUUUGAUAGGCUCCUACACAUCUAUCCGCCAGGGGAUUACGAGCAUCAGCUUAAAACCCAAAGGACUUGGCGGUACCUUAGACCCCCCUAGAGGAGCCUGUCCUAGAACCGAUACUCCCCGUCUAACCUCACCACCCCUAGCCCCAACCGCCUAUAUACCGCCGCCGCCAGCUUACCCCGUGAGGGAAUAGAAGUAAGCGAGACUGGUAAAGCCAAAAACGUCAGGUCGAGGUGUAGCGUAUGGGGUGGGAAGCAAUGGGCUACAUUCUCUGAUCCAGAAUAUACGAAAAGGGUGUUGAAAACACACCCCUAAAGGAGGAUUUAGCAGUAAGGGGAAAACAGAGUGUCCC
rnacentral:rRNA from 1 species